rnacentral:lncRNA from 1 species
AUGAAGGUAUCAGAAGGCUGCUUUCUUUUAACCCGACUUGCCCAUUCCUGGCUUUUCCGCCUGGGGUUUACCUUGACCCUGAAUAAUAUGGACCAAAGAAAAGAAGAAGGAAAAAGAAGAAAACUCCACCGCUCCUUGUUGCACUGCUUAGAAGGCUGUGUUGGGAGCUCUGUGGGUAUGCCUCUGUGGGUAUGCCUCUUGGUGACUGCUCUUGUCGAUCAUGUGGGGCUUGUGUGGAAUUUUCUCAGCUCUCCUGCCCAAUUUCACCUCUGCAGUGAUUUCUUACCUGACACGUCAAGUUGGACAAACCACUCAUUGCUGACACACCGGUUUUCCAAGGGUGAACUCUCUUGCUGGCGUGUAAUAGCCAACCCUUGUUUGCUUGGGGGUUGAGAUUUACUCACCGACCCCAUUCCCAAUGCACUGAUUUUGAAUCUUGUAAAUUUCCAGUCUCUAGUUUCAGGGUUUGUUGAUGUAACUGUGUGAGUCAUCUGCAAGGUCCGGGGGAGACAGACUGGGAUGGGUUUGGAAUUUAAACGUUACCAAGCCUCAACGAGCCACUCGUUCCCUGAGCAGCUCUGCAGCGGUGGGCAGUGUUCCAGGCAGAGGGGACACAGAGGAUGGAGCAGAGCCCUUGAAGCUGACAUGGUCGAGGGGAAGACAUACAACAAAGAAGCCAGACAGCUGUCACACUGUGACGAGCAUGAUUCAGAUGUGACGGGUUGUCCUCCUUUCCUGCUCUCACUGGCUCAUCCAUUCUUCCAGUUGUCCCUCACAGCACUGUGAUUGUUUGUUGUGUCUUUGUCUCCUCCAUCUGAAUUCAAAUUUAUGAGGAAAAGGCACACUGUCAUUUUACUUCUAAAUUCCCAAUUCCUAUAUGGUGUCAGCUAUAGUGAAUGUGCUCAGUAAAACCUUUUGACACUGAAUAUUUCAUUCUUGGAUUUAUCAUAUUUUUCCCUACUGUUGUUUCCUUUAUUCCUGAUUUCUUAAUGUACCAUUAAAAAAUGUGUGUAUUAAUGGCAAGGAUAUGUGGUAGUGGGAGGAAGUGGAGGGUAGAAGGACAGAUGGACAUGAUCAAUGCACAAUAUAUGCACAUAUGGAAGUAUCACAGUAAAUCCUAUGAAUCGUACAAUUAAUAUGUGCUAAUAAUAAUGAGAAACAAAAUGGAUUUAUUUUUAUAGGUCUUUCUGAUAUAGGUGAGUUUGCAUAAGCAUGAAACAUAUAAAAUAUAUAAAGGAUUUUGAAUGGAAAAAUGAGUAAAAUAGUAAAUAUAUAGGCUAACGUUAGACAAAACUUGAGUCCAAACACAAACUGUCUUGGUUACUCAUCACUAGGACACAAUACCCUACACAUGCAACUUAAAGGAGGAGAGAUUUAUUUUGGCUCAUGGUUUUAGAGGUUUCAGUCCAUGGUUAGCUGGCUCCAAGGCAGGGCAGCCUGGCCAAGCAGAGCUGUUCAUGGCCUGGCUGCCUGGAAGCAGAGAGAAGAAGGGAGAAGCUGGGAAGGGAAAUAUAGAACACUGAUGAUCCACCUCCUCCCACCAGCACCACCUCCUAACAGCAAGUCCUCUGUAAGGGCAUCCUGAUCUGGUCACCUUUCAAAAGCCCUGCCUAUGAGCAGAAGCUUUACAACACCUAUUGGUAUUAUGAUGUCAGGAACGGAGCUUAUCUGAAGAAUUGAGCCAAUGAUCUACAUCAUAUCCUGAAAGAAGCCAAUGGUGUUAUGUGUAUAAUGAACUCUACACAUAACAAUGGUAGCUCACUUCUUUAAAGACUUGCUUUGUAGCAGUGUAUCAUGUUUAUUAAAGACUGAGGCAGAGCGUGAUGUAAUAUUCCAAUGUUUUCAAUUAUCACUCUUGACAUAUAGGGCCACAAAGUAGCUACUCAAUAAAAAUUAGCUGCUGUAAGUACAAAAUGUAUUACUUUUGCUGCAUUGUCUCAUUUGCAAUAUUGAGCAACCUAUACAAAAACAUUUUAUGAGAAACUGAAGUAUACUUCUGCCUAAAACAUUAUGACUUCAAAUUAGGAAGAAUGUGUGUCCUUGUUUGCCGGCCACGGGCCCUGUUUGGUCUGAUUGUUCUAGGGUAAGAGCACCCUCUCCCCUUUUAUAAAAUGUCCUGAUGUAUAAGGUUACCCUGUCCUAUCAGGUUCACUCUCAAAGUCAGGUAUCCACAGAGGCCAAAAGGAGGAAAGAGGAAGAAAGGGAAACACAAAGCAGGUUCAUUCUGUAAACAUAUCUUCCUGCUCACAAACAUGUCCUCAAUAGAGGGUUUGAUUUAUGUGUUCUGAUUCAUGGCAAUGGGAGGCGGAGAAGAUUUGUCACCUUGGAUUUUGAGAGUCUAAUUAUUUACAUUCUAAAACCAUGUCUUCACCUCCGAGGGAAAGUAUGCAAGGUAUCAGGUUAAUGGGUGGACUACAAAAAUCAAUGGCAGGAUCAGGAUGGGAGCCAUCUAAUCUCAUUUCUGCAGCCCAAGAUGCCAGCACAUCCGUCUUUCUCAAGAGUAUGCACACAGCUCUAUUAGGUGCUGGGCUUGCUAUAAUUCUGCUGUAAUUGCAAUAGCAUUAUAAAUUAUUGCCAGAACACUGGAGUGACUGCACUAGAGCUUUGGUUCAUGGCUCUGUGUUUCCUAUAUGUGCAGCCAUUUAUUUUUGGAGAUGGUACAGGGAGCUGCACACAUAAAUAUGCCCACAUCCUCAUGUCACAUGCUCAGCCUGCUGCCUGCUUCUGUGAUCAGCUUUGAAAGAUCUUGCAACAAACUGAGCAAAGGGAGUCCUGUGUUCUAUAUUUAGCUUUCCACUAACUAGCUACAUAACCUUGUGAAGGUCACAUUCUCUCCCUGGACUUCAUGGUGUGUAAAAUAAGUACAUAGAAUUACAUCACAGAUUUCCAUAUUUUACCCAUUUUCUCACCUCCUCAUUUUUUGGGGCUAUU